GGGCCAUUAGCUCAGUUGGUAGAGCACCUGACUUUUAAUCAGGGUGUCGGAGGUUCGAAUCCUCCAUGGCUCACCA
rnacentral:tRNA from 3 species